rnacentral:rRNA from 1 species
AAUAGAUACCCGGGUAGUCCACGCCGUAAACGAUGUCGACUUGGAGGUUGUUCCCUUGAGGAGUGGCUUCCGGAGCUAACGCGUUAAGCCGACCGCCUGGGGAGUACGGCCGCAAGGUUAAAACUCAAAUGAAUUGACGGGGGCCCGCACAAGCGGUGGAGCAUGUGGUUUAAUUCGAUGCAACGCGAAGAACCUUACCUACUCUUGACAUCCAGAGAACUUAGCAGAGAUGCUUUGGUGCCUUCGGGAACUCUGAGACAGGUGCUGCAUGGCUGUCGUCAGCUCGUGUUGUGAAAUGUUGGGUUAAGUCCCGCAACGAGCGCAACCCUUAUCCUUUGUUGCCAGCGGUUCGGCCGGGAACUCAAAGGAGACUGCCAGUGAUAAACUGGAGGAAGGUGGGGAUGACGUCAAGUCAUCAUGGCCCUUACGAGUAGGGCUACACACGUGCUACAAUGGCGUAUACAAAGAGAAGCGACCUCGCGAGAGCAAGCGGACCUCAUAAAGUACGUCGUAGUCCGGAUUGGAGU